rnacentral:rRNA from 1 species
AUUGAACGCUGGCGGCAGGCCUAACACAUGCAAGUCGAGCGAGCGGAGGACGGGUGAGAAAUGUAUGGGGACUGCCCGAUAGAGGGGGAUAACUCCUGGAAACGGUAGCUAAUACCGCAUACAAUCGGAUAAGCCAUAUGGGAUUAGCUAGUAGGUGAGGUAAGGGCUCACCUAGGCGACGAUCCCUAGCUGGUCUGAGAGGAUGAUCAGCCACACUGGGACUGAGACACGGCCCAGACUCCUCCGGAGGCAGCAGUGGGGAAUAUUGCACAAUGGGCGAAAGCAUGAUGCAGCCAUGCCGCGUGUAUGAAGAAGGACCUAGGGUUGUAAAGUACUUUCAGUCGGGAGGCGUUACCGACAGAAGAAGCACCGGCUAACUCCGUGCCAGCAGCCGCGGUAAUAC